rnacentral:rRNA from 1 species
CAGAGGGUGCGAGCGUUAAUCGGAAUUACUGGGCGUAAAGCGCACGUAGGUGGCGACGUAAGUCGGGUGUGAAAGCCCCGGGCUCAACCUGGGAAUUGCAUUCGAGACUGCGUUGCUGGAGUACGGAAGAGGAAGGCGGAAUUCCCGGUGUAGCGGUGAAAUGCGUAGAUAUCGGGAGGAACAUCAGUGGCGAAGGCGGCCUUCUGGUCCAGUACUGACACUCAAGUGCGAAAGCGUGGGGAGCGAACAGGAUUAGAUACCCUGGUAGUCCACGCCCUAAACGAUGACGACUGGAUGUCGGAGGGGUCUGCCUUUCGGUGUCGUAGCUAACGCGUUAAGUCGUCCGCCUGGGGAGUACGGCCGCAAGGUUG